rnacentral:rRNA from 1 species
UACGGAGGGUGCAAGCGUUAUCCGGAUUCACUGGGUUUAAAGGGUGCGUAGGCGGUGCGGAAAGUCGGGUGUGAAAUCCCCCAGCUCAACUGGGGAACUGCGCCUGAAACUGCCGUACUCGAGGAAGACAGAGGUACGCGGAACUUAGGGUGGAGCGGUGAAAUGCGUUGAUAUCCUAAGGAACACCGGUGGCGAAAGCGGCGUACUGGGUCUUAUCUGACGCUCAUGCACGAAAGCUAGGGUAGCGAACGGG